AACGCACAUUGCGCCCCUUGGUAUUCCGGGGGGCAUGCCUGUUCGAGCGUCAUUACAACCCUCAAGCUCUGCUUGGUCUUGGGCGUCCCCGGCGACGGGGUGCCCUAAAAUCAGUGGCGGUGCCAUCUGGCUCUAAGCGUAGUACAACUCUCGCUCUGGACGUCUGGUGGAUGCUUGCCAACAACCCCCAAUUUUUUACAGGUUGACCUCGGAUCAGGUAGGGAUACCCGCUGAACUUAA
rnacentral:misc_RNA from 1 species